GUGGUUUAAUUCGAAGCAACGCGCAGAACCUUACCUACGCUUGACAUGCCCGGACGAUUUCCAGAGAUGGAUCUCUCCCUUCGGGGCCGGUGCACAGGUGCUGCAUGGCUGUCGUCAGCUCGUGUCGUGAGAUGUUCGGUUAAGUCCGGCAACGAGCGCAACCCACAUCUUUAGUUGCCAGCAGUUCGGCUGGGCACUCUAAAGAAACUGCCCGUGAUAAGCGGGAGGAAGGUGUGGAUGACGUCAAGUCCUCAUGGCCCUUACGGGUUGGGCUACACACGUGCUACAAUGGCAAGUACAGUGGGUUAAUCCCCAAAACUUGUCUCAGUUCGGAUUGGGGUCUGCAACUCGACCUCAUGAAGUCGGAGUCGCUAGUAAUCGCAGAUCAGCA
rnacentral:rRNA from 1 species